UCCCUUUAGUGGACAUUAGCAAAUAGCAAAAUGCUCAAAAUCCAGGUAUAAAUAUGCUACCUGCAACUUGCAAUUAAAAAUAUGUUACAAAUAUGAUAAUAGGAGAAUCAGAUGGUAUCGUUUCAAAUAAAGAAUAAGCAAUGAAGGAAGCAACAGCCCCCCCUUUUUAAAAAAAACAGCAACAAAUUUUCUGGGAGGGAAGUUGAAAAUGUUGCUUUCAGCCAUAUUCUUUCCAUUACAGUGGUACCUCGGGUUACAGACGCUUCAGGUUACAGACUCCACUAACCCAGAAAUAGUACCUCGGGUUAAGAACUUUGCUUCAGGAUGAGAACAGAAAUCGCACGGCGGCAGCGGGAGUCCCUAUUAGCUAAAGUGGUACCUCAGGUUAAGAACAGUUUCAGGUUAAGAACAGACCUCCAGAACGAAUUAAGUUCUUAACCCGAGGUACCACUGUGUAGAAUUCUUAGUUUCACACACAUAUUCCCUAAUUAGGGUAAAUGCAAGAGUUCAGUACCUCACUCCACAUGUGGCUAGAAUGCUUUGGAGAAAACAUCCCAUAGGUGCCAAUGGGAACUGAAAGAGAAUACUUUUUAAUCUCCCUCUGCCACCGCCCCCCCCAACAUAUUUCAUAUUUGACUGAUAUAGUAUGGCAAUAAAUGAAGACAAUGGGUAGAGGGUCAAAAUCAAAUACAGUGGUACUUCAGGU